rnacentral:lncRNA from 1 species
GAUAUUUGGUAUAAUCAAGGUUUAUUUUUAGAUAGUAAGCUCUCCAGUAGUUUUUACUUGAUAAUUAAACAACGCCUGUUUGAUUGUCUGAAGCAAGAUUUUGACAGCCAAAUGAAUAAUUUAGUUAAAUGUACAAGUUAUAGAUAUAUGGUUCAAAAUUUUUGUUUACAAAAUUAUUUAUGUAAACCAAUACCAGUUAUUUAUAAGAC